UAGGGUAAGGGGUAAGUUUAGGGUUAGGGUUAGGGGUAGGGUAGGGUUAGGUGUAUGGUUAGGGUUAGGGGAAAGGUUAGUGGUAGGGUUAAGAAUAGGGUUACCCUACCCCUACCCUACCCCUACUCCAACCACUAACCUUAACCCUUCCCCAUCCUCUAACCCUACCCCAACCCUUAACCCUACCCCUAACUCUACCUCUACCCCAACCACUAACCCUACCCUAACCCUACCCCAACCCCAACCCUCUCCUGUUUUGUCUUUUUUCAGAA